rnacentral:rRNA from 1 species
AUUGAACGCUGGCGGCAGGCCUAACACAUGCAAGUCGAGCGGAGCGGCGGACGGGUGAGUAAUACCUAGGAAUCUGCCUGGUAGUGGGGGAUAACGUCCGGAAACGGACGCUAAUACCGCAUACUAUCAGAUGAGCCUAGGUCGGAUUAGCUAGUUGGUGAGGUAAUGGCCGACCAAGGCUACGAUCCGUAACUGGUCUGAGAGGAGGAUCAGGAACACUGGAACUGAGACACGGUCCAGACUACUACGGGAGGCAGCAGUGGGGAAGAGUGGACAAGGGGCGAAAGACUGAUACAGCCAUGCCGCGUGUGUGAAGAAGGUCUUCGGAUUGUAAAGCACUUUAAGUUGGGAGGCGUUACCAACAGAAUAAGCACCGGCUAACUCUGUGCCAGCAGCCGCGGUAAGAC